rnacentral:rRNA from 1 species
GGGGGGGGGGGGGGGGGGGGCGAGGGGGGGCGGGUGGAGCGGAGGGGCGGGAGGCGUGCUUCUCUGAUGUUAGCGGCGGCCGGGGUGGUAACACGUGGAUAACCUACCUAUAAGACUGGGAUAACUUCGGGAAACCGGAGCUAAUACCGUCUAAUAUUUUGAAUCGCAUGGUUCAAAAUUGAAAGACGGUCUUGCUUUCACUUAUAGAUGUAUCCGCGCUGCAUUAGCUAGUUGGUAAGGUAACGGCUUACCAAGGCACAGAUGCAUAGCCGACCUGAGAGGGUGAUCGGCCACACUGGAACUGAGACACGGUCCAGACUCCUACGGGAGGCAGAAGUAGGGAAUCUUCCGCAAUGGGCGAAAGCCUGACGGAGCAACGCAGCGUGAGUGAUGAAGGUCUUCGGAUCGUAAAACUCUGUUAUUAGGGAAGAACAUAUGUGUAAGUAACUGUGCACAUCUUGACGGUACCUAAUCAGAAAGCCACGGCUAACUACGUG